rnacentral:rRNA from 1 species
GUGCCUACGGGGCGCAGCAGUGAGGAAUAUUGGUCAAUGGGCGGGAGCCUGAACCAGCCAAGUCGCGUGAGGGAUGACGGUCCUACGGAUUGUAAACCUCUUUUGCCGGGGAGCAAGCGUGCGUUCGUGAACGCGCGUCGAGAGUACCCGGAGAAAAAGCAUCGGCUAACUCCGUGCCAGCAGCCGCGGUAAUACGGAGGAUGCGAGCGUUAUCCGGAUUUAUUGGGUUUAAAGGGUGCGUAGGCGGUCCGUUAAGUCAGCGGUAAAAUUGCGGGGCUCAACCCCGUCGAGCCGUUGAAACUGGC